CCUACGGGUGGCAGCAGUCGAGAAUCAUUCACAAUGGGGGAAACCCUGAUGGUGCGACGCCGCGUGGGGGAAUGCAGGUCUUCGGAUUGUAAACCUCUGUCAUGUGGGAGCAAAUUAAAAAGAUAGUACCACAAGAGGAAGAGACGGCUAACUCUGUGCCCGCAGCCGCGGUAAUACAGAGGUCUCAAGCGUUGUUCGGAAUCAUUGGGCGUAAAGCGUGCGUAGGCUGUUUCGUAAGUCGUGUGUGAAAGGCGCGGGCACAACCCGCGGACGGCACAUGAUACUGCGAGAUUAGAGUAAUGGAGGGGGAACCGGAAUUCUCGGUGUAGCAGUGAAAUGCGUAGAUAUCGAGAAGAACACUCAUGGCGAAGGCGGGUUCCUAGACAUUAACUGACGCUGAGGCACGAAGGCCAGGGUAGCGAAAGGGAUUAGAUACCCCGGUAGUC
rnacentral:rRNA from 1 species